rnacentral:tRNA from 1 species
GGAGGCGUUCAGGCGGCUGGUGCCCCUCCCAGUCUUCAAAACUGGUGUGACCCGGCAUCCGGGUCAGGCGGGUUCGAUUCCCGUCCGCCUCCG